UACGUAGGGGGCUAGCGUUAUCCGGAAUUACUGGGCGUAAAGGGUGCGUAGGUGGUUUCUUAAGUCAGAAGUGAAAGGCUACGGCUCAACCGUAGUAAGCCUUUGAAACUGGGAAACUUGAGUGCAGGAGAGGAGAGUGGAAUUCCUAGUGUAGCGGUGAAAUGCGUAGGUAUUAGGAGGAACACCAGUUGCGAAGGCGGCUCUCUGGACUGUAACUGACACUGAGGCACGAAAGCGUGGGGAGCAAACAGG
rnacentral:rRNA from 1 species